GACCUUUGGUUUACCCAUCCGCUUGCGGAAACCAGUGAAUGUGGUGUCAAAAGGCAUAAAUUAAACCCUUCGCAGCCAUUUUCUGCCCUUGAAUUUGGUGUCUUUGGUGUAGGAGCUGCUUAAGUUACAGUG